CCUACGGGAGGCUGCAGUGGGGAAUAUUGCACAAUGGGCGCAAGCCUGAUGCAGCCAUGCCGCGUGUGUGAAGAAGGCCUUCGGGUUGUAAAGCACUUUCAGCGGGGAGGAAGGCGUUAAGGUUAAUAACCUUGGCGAUUGACGUUACCCGCAGAAGAAGCACCGGCUAACUCCGUGCCAGCAGCCGCGGUAAUACGGAGGGUGCAAGCGUUAAUCGGAAUUACUGGGCGUAAAGCGCACGCAGGCGGUCUGUCAAGUCGGAUGUGAAAUCCCCGGGCUCAACCUGGGAACUGCAUUCGAAACUGGCAGGCUAGAGUCUUGGAGAGGGGGGUAGAAUUCCAGGUGUAGCGGUGCAAUGCGUAGAGAUCUGGAGGAAUACCGGUGGCGAAGGCGGCCCCCUGGACAAAGACUGACGCUCAGGUGCGAAAGCGUGGGGAGCAAACAGGAUUAGAUACCCGGGUAGUC
rnacentral:rRNA from 1 species